GACUGGGAAUCGAACCUGUAACUCUGGCAAGUUGAGACAGUACUCUAACCAACUGAGCUGCCCAGUCAGGCCAUUGUCACUCAUUUUUAAUUCUUCUUAGUGAUAUAUACUUUGUCAAUCUUAGUAUAUGUCUCUUUUGGAUGACUACUGUUUUAAACUUUCAAAUCUGAUGAGAGUUAAAAUAUUAGGCCAUUGUCUUUCAUCAGUGGAAAGUCAUUCUGUUUUCACCUGUAGUUGUAAAGGUUGACAGGAAGCUUUUUUUAAAAACUAUGUUUCAGUCAUAAAUUGCGUUCUGACCAGCUUAAAAUUGAAUCCUUCAAGCGUUUUGUUUCUAGCUAUCCUGUAUAGACAGAAGUAGAUUUCAUUUAGCCUUGAAGAUUAGUCAAAGUCAUAAUUACUUUUCCUCAUUUUUGUCCUUUUUUUUGUUAAGUAUAUUGAAUAUUUUCUUUUUACAAAUAUUUCUAAGGUUAUGUUGUUAUGUAUUUUUUAAAUUACUGGGUUCUUGUCUUUAGAUAGCUCCAUUGAAAAGUGAAAUGUAAAUGCAGAUAAUUACAGGAUUUAUGUACAAAGAAUACAUAAUAGGAGGGUGGGGAGCAAAUAAUUCUCUGCCUUCACAUAAGAAGUGACAUUUGAAUUGGGGUCAGUUUGAAGAACUGGGUCUAGAAAAACCUAGACCCAAAACUAUGCAUAAAUUGUGAUGAACAGGGAAAAGGUGAAAUUAGAAGUACAGGUCAAACUGUUAAGGUAUUAUACAUAUACCAUUAAAGGAUUUGGACUCUGUUUGGUAAGAUACCCCCCCCCCCCCAAAAAAGAAAGAAAUCUAACCAGAUUUAUAUUCUAGAUUAGCUGAGCAGGAGUAACUUGUGGGAGAACUCCAAAUGUCUAUUACCAGACCAAGCUUCUCAUAGUACGUUAAACUAUGGGAGUGUACUAGAAUGCCUGAAAUAAAAAGAGAAAGUGGCUAAAUAGAGCACACUGGAGAGCACCAUUAUUGCAGGAGUUGGAGAGAAAGGAGUUAUGAAGACCUGAAGGGGGAAAAAAAGGUAGGGAAACAAAUGAAGAGUGGAGUUGUGGAAGCCAAGAGAGAAGUGGUAAAAAGUGUUUGAAAUCAUGGUGAAGAAACUCAGCCCCAGAAAUCAGAUUCCUUCUGGUUGAGGAGUAACAGGUAAUGAGAAACUAGUGUUCUUUCAAGAAACCUGGCUCUGAAGAGGAGAGAUCAGAAACCAAAGAUUUACCAAAAUAGUUUUGCUAGAAAUAUCAAGAUUUUCAAUUGUAAUGCUUGUUUAGUUUCUAGAAUACUUGGGAGUGAUUCUCAUUCUUGAAUUGGUCAUUAGGGAAGUUUAAAAUCUUUGCCAGUUGCUUGUCCUGCAAGUUACUAAACAGAAGAAACAUUUGGCAACUAUAAUGCUAUGUUCUACACAGUUCAAAUAAUCUGUAUUAAAACCACAUAAACUACUUGUCCUUUCUCUUGCUAAUUUGUAGGCUGGAAAAGUGAGGUGUAACAAUUCUCAUACGUGUGAAUUGUUUUGAAUAGAAAUUGUAGUUUGGAAGUUUGUAGCCAUUUCCAAGAAAGAAUUUGUGCUGUUUUUAUCACUAUGUUACAGAAGAUAAUAACAAAAGUAAUUGGUUUACAUAUCCUUAUCUUGGGGGGGAAAUUAGUUUAGAAGAUACAUUUUGAAUACUAUUUAAAUGUUUUUUUUUCUAUGUAACUGCCUUCAUUGCGCUAGUUAUGUGUAUGUUGGAUAUUAGUAUACUUGAUGAGGUCUAAGAUUGUCAUGCAUCAGGUUUUUAAGCAAAUGUUUCGUAUUCAUAAAUCCUUCUUAAUAAUUAAUUGUCAGUUCAUUUUUAUCUCCAUUUUUAAAAAUUUGAGACAUGAGAAGAAACUAAGUAAAAAGAAGAAACUUUCCUCCUGAUUAUCUGAAGUGUAAAUUAUCCACAUCUGUGACAAACCAUUCAGUUUCUCCCCUCUUCCUUCAGAAAGGAGUCUUUAACAUCAGCUCAUUAUGAGCUUUCCUGAUCUGCAGAAAGAAGAAUGUUACAACCUAACCAGGUGGAUUAUCUGUGGAUACUAUGGGUAAUAACUGACACUAGUGAUUUGUAAGU